rnacentral:misc_RNA from 1 species
ACACUAAUGAAAUCCAAAACCUUUUGGAUCAACCCAACCUUAGCGAACCGUUCGUAUUUUCCCUUUGCCCAAUUUUACCAAACGCAAAAACUCUGAUGUAAAGUGUCUGAUUCUUAUUCUCGUUUUCGGUUGUCAUGACCGAGCGGCGGGAAUCAAAAUCUAACGCAAUA